rnacentral:lncRNA from 1 species
AUGGUGGAUUAUUCUUUAACUAAGCCUCCUUGAAAAAUGAGGUGAAAUAGUCAAGCUAUUGACUUUAAAGAAGCGCUUAUUGGGAGGCAACCCAAUGUUUGUUUAAGUUUAUGUUAUUUUGGGGUGAUUUUAUGUUUAAAGUAUAUGUUUGAGUUAUUUUGUUAUUUUUCAUUUGUAGGUAUUGGAAAUGGAAGCAAAAGUGACCAAAUGAGGUGAAAAAAGCGAAAUUUGAUCAAGGAACUCAACCCCUCAAUUUGAGUAAUUGUUGUUUUUGAUUUGUUAGAAGGGGUUAAAAUGCAUAUUUUGAUCAUUUUACAUGUGUGCAUAUUGAUAAAUUUUACAAACAAAUGAUUUAUGAUGCAUUUUGAGUGAUUGGGGUAUCAUUUGUAAUUUUUCAAAGUUGGCUUUCUGCAAAAAUUUCGCAGAAGAAAACGCAUUUGGGCUGAAAACGCGCCUUAGAAUCGCGUUUUCCAUAAUCGCGUUUUCGAUUCUGCGCCUAUACUGAAGAAAACGCGCCUCAAAACGCGACAGGAAGUCGCGUUUUCUACCAAUUCGCGUUUUCCAGCCUGAUCAAAAAUUGAAAACGCGACUUAAAAUACGCGACUCCAAGUCGCGUUUUUAAGCAUAGUCGCGUUUUCGAUCCUGCAAGAUAUGUGAAGAAACGCGACUUCAUAAAACGCGGCUUGGUGGCGCGUUUUGAUGAGUCGCGUUUUCGGAGCAAAAAAAAAAAAUGCAGAUUCCUUGAUUCUCUUUUUCUUCUUUUCCUCAUAUAUAUUUUCUUGUACCUUGAGUUGCUUAUUGUGUAUUUUUUUUAGGUACAUCACGAAAACAAAGGAUUGAAGUUACGGAUCAUCAUUUUGUUUAUUAAACCUUUGUUAUCACUUUUGCUUCUCAUUUUUUUUUUAGGAUUACAUCACUAAUGGUUAUCCAAUGAAACUCAUGAAGCGUUGGAGAUACACGGACAAUGGAUUUUGAAGCUUCAUAUUCAAUCGCAACAAUAGGGGAGUAUUACUUUUCUUUAUCUUGAUUUUCCUUUUUACACAUUGAGGACAAUGUGUAUGUUAAGUGUGGGGGGAGAAUUGAGAUUAUAUACAUUGUAUGUGAUUGAAUUAUUAGUUGCAAAUAUUGGACUUGUGUUAAAAUUCAAAAUUUUUCUAAAAUCUUGUCCAAAAUUGCAAACUUGCCCCAAAAAGUUUCAUAUUUUUUCGAUUUUAUCCAAGGGGUAACAAGUUCCAUACCAUUAGUAGUUCAAAUUCCUUCUACAUUUGAGAUAAAUAUAUAUGAUUUGGAAACUUCUUUUCUCAUUUAACUUGGAAAUGACUAUUAUGUGAUUAUAAUUUUGCAUUUGUAGGAAAAUAUAUCUUGUGAAGUGGAGAAAAUUAUGCCUAUAUUUUUUUUGCAUAUUUGAUGAAAUUUUCUUCUCUUUAUUGGAUUUUAUAAGUUAAGUGAUAAAUAUGGUCAAUAAGUGCAAUACUCUUCUCAUGAUUAUUUUUUUAGAAACUUAUUAUUCUCUUUGCUAUAAAAAAAAAAGAAAAAAAAAUGAUGAAAAAUGAAAAAAAAAAGAAAAAAGA